GAUGAACGCUGGCGGCGUGCCUAAUACAUGCAAGUCGAGCGAACAGACGAGGAGCUUGCUCCUCUGACGUUAGCGGCGGACGGGUGAGUAACACGUGGAUAACCUACCUAUAAGACUGGGAUAACUUCGGGAAACCGGAGCUAAUACCAGAUAAUAUAUUGAACCGCAGGGUUCAAUAGUGAAAGACGGCUUUGCUGUCACUAAUAGAUGGAUCCGCGCCGCAUUAGCUAGUUGGUAAGGUAACGGCUUACCAAGGCUACGAUGCGUAGCCGACCUGAGAGGCUGAUCGGCCACACUGGAACUGAGACACGGUCCAGACUCCUACGGGAGGCAGCAGUAGGGAAUAUUCCGCAAUGGGCGAAAGCGUGACGGAGCAACGCCGCGUGAGUGAAGAAGGUCUUCGGAUCGUAAAACUCUGUUAUUAGGGAAGAACAAAUGUGGAAGUAACUAUGCACGUCUUGACGGUACCUAAUCAGAAAGCAACGGCUAACUACGUG
rnacentral:rRNA from 1 species